rnacentral:rRNA from 1 species
GCAAGAUUAAAACUCAAAGGAAUAGACGGGGACCCGCACAAGUGGUGGAGCAUGUGGUUUAAUUCGAAGAUACGCGAAGAACCUUACCUAGCCUUGACAUUGAUAGAACACAGUAGAGAUACAGUGGUGCCUUUCGGGGAGCUUGAAAACAGGUGCUGCACGGCUGUCGUCAGCUCGUGUCGUGAGAUGUUGGGUUAAGUCCCGCAACGAGCGCAACCCUCGUCACUAGUUACUAACGAUUCGGUCGAGGACUCUAGUGAGACUGCCUUCGUAAGGAGGAGGAAGGUGAGGACGACGUCAAGUCAUCAUGGCCCUUACGGCUAGGGCGACACACGUGCUACAAUGGGCAGGACAGUGAGACGCAAUACCGCGAGGUGGAGCAAAUCUAUAAACCUGCUCUCAGUUCGGAUUGUUCUCUGCAACUCGAGAACAUGAAGCUGGAAUCACUAGUAAUCGUAGAUCAGCCAUGCUACGGUGAAUACGUUCCCGGGUCUUGUACUCACCGCCCGUCACACCAUGGGAGUUGAUUUCACCCGAAGCGGGGAAGCUAAACUGGCUACCCUCCACGGUGGAAUUAGCGACUGGGGUGAAGUCGUAACAAGGUA